CCUACGGGGGGCAGCAGUGGGGAAUAUUGCACAAUGGGGGAAACCCUGAUGCAGCGACGCCGCGUGAGUGAAGAAGUAUUUAGGUACGUAAAGCUCUAUCAGCCGGGAAGAAAAUGACGGUACCUGACUAAGAAGCCCCGGCUAACUACGUGCCAGCCGCCGCGGUAAUACGUAGGGGGCAAGCGUUAUCCGGAUUUAUUGGGUUUAACGGGUGCGCAGGCGGAGGUGCAAGUCAGCGGUCAAAUUGCGGGGCUCAACCCCGUACUGCCGUUGAAACUGCAUCCCUGGAGUGCGCGAGAAGUAUGCGGAAUGCGUGGUGUAGCGGUGAAAUGCAUAGAUAUCACGCAGAACUCCGAUUGCGAAGGCAGCAUACCGGCGCGCAACUGACGCUCAUGCACGAAAGCGUGGGUAUCGAACAGGAUUAGAUACCCCUGUAGUC
rnacentral:rRNA from 1 species